GCUUGCAUCGGUGAUUAGUGGGCGAACGGGUGAGUAACACGUGAGUAACCUGCCCUUAACUCUGGGAUAAGCCUGGGAAACUGGGUCUAAUACCGGAUAUGACUCCUCAUCGCAUGGUGGGGGGUGGAAAGCUUUUUUUGUGGUUUUGGACUGGUACUCGCGGCCUAUCAGCUUGUUGGUGAGGUAAUGGCUUACCAAGGCGACGACGGGUAGCCGGCCUGAGAGGGUGACCGGCCACACUGGGACUGAGACACGGCCCAGCACUCCUACGGGAGGCAGCAGUGGGGACGUAUCUGCACAAUGGGCGGAAGCCUGAUGCCAGCGACGCCGCGUGAGGGAAUGACGGCCUUCGGGUUGUAAACCUCUUUCAGUAGGGAAGAAGCGUAAGUGACGGUACUUCUGCAGAAGAAGCGUCCGGCUAACUACGUGCCAGUUCUAUGCCGCGGUAAUACGUAGGGCGCAAGCGUUAUCCGGAAUUAUCUGGGCGUAUAAGAGCAUCGUAGGCGGUUUGUCGCGUCUGCCGUGAAAGUCCGGGGCUCAACUCCGGAUCUGCGGUGGGUACGGGCAGACUAGAGUGAUGUAGGGGAGACUGGAAUUCCUGGUGUAGCGGUGAAAUGCGCAGAUAUCAGGAGGAACACCGAUGGCGAAGGCAGGUCUCUGGGCAUUAACUGACGCUGAGGAGCGAAAGCAUGGGGAGCGAACAGGAUUAGAUACCCUGGUAGUCCAUGCCGUAAACGUUGGGCACUAGGUGUGGGGGACAUUCCACGUUUUCCCCGCCGUAGCUAACGCAUUAAGGUGCCCCGAAUCUCAUAUUAUUUCCCAUUCCUUUCUCUCAUGUUCGUUUUUUUUUUCCUCUCCCCCCUUCUCCCCUCUUCCUCCCCC
rnacentral:rRNA from 1 species